rnacentral:lncRNA from 1 species
AUAAGGAGAUGGAGAUCAUCGUCCCAGGGGUAAUCAAUUUAAACUUUGCUAACAAUAUGCGUGCACUUGCCAGAGAGGUGCAUUCAAUACUUCCCUACUUGAGGGGAUCGCAUAUACUAAAUUAAAAUGCAGUGAUCACAUAACAGAUUAUAAAUUGUUUUCUUAAUUUACACACACUGUACACCUGCUUUCCCAAAUCGGCAUUACCAUAUCACCGUAUAUCCAACCUUUAGGCGCAACAGGCAACCUACAAUUGGAGUGAUGGUUCAGUAAGAAAGAACAUUUAGCACAAAGAAAGAUGAAUUUUGAAAAAAAAAACUUGCAGUGAACACAGAAAAAAUCGAUGCUCGACUGACUACUAAUACCAUCUCAAAAUAUGCAAGAUGCAAGAUGCUUGACUGACUACUAAUACCAUCCAAAAAUCAAUGCUCAACUGACUACUAAUACCAUCUAAAAAUAAGAGGUCAAACCAAUCAAGUGAAAGACUUUUGAACUGGAAUUAGACACAUUGUACAUCAUCAAUCAUUAGGAGCUGGACCCCAUAGAAUCUUUUCGGCUUCGGUUGUAUGAUUAGAAUUUGGCUUCAAACUAACUAAACUAAAGAGUUUUUUUCCUUGUCCACUCUUUUGUUGCUAAAUUAUGAUCCAUAAAGUUAUAGUGCAUCUUGGAAAGGUUAUAAUAGUUUUGGUUACAGGGUUGAUGAUAUAUCUAUGGAUAUUAUGUUGACUGAUAGCCCAUGGUUCAUCUGAGCUCACUUUGGCGCGAAUGCGGUGAUGAAGGUUCGACCUGCAGUUUCAGAUUUCCCUUGACUCAUUCAGUGCAGCUUCCUUCGUGACGUAUGCCACAUGCUAAUAUCAACUUUCUCAUUGUAUAUAAAUUUUCAGGAGAAAAAAGGAAAAAGUUGAUACGGUUUUCCUUGCAGCUCAAUUUUCACACCCUUCCCAGGUUAAUAUUCACUGCUUUCUUUGGACCAACUUUAUGCUGCCUUUUCUCUGCACACACCUCAUCAAAACUGAACCAAGAGGCAUCACAUAGGUUUAGAUGGCGCGUGUGAACAUGGUUUAAGAUAUGAUAUUUCUUGGAGAGAGCAAACUAACCCUUUCAAUUUCACGAUCUAUUAACUAAAAUAUUGAUCGACGGCACAUUCUGAUGCUUCAACUUUGUUUUUGCCUUAUUGUCACUUAAUUAGGUAAUAUAGUAAGAAAGAAUACUGAAUGAGACUCGAAGGAAUUUUGAUGUCAACUCGUGAUUAGCAGAACUUAAAAUGAUCUCUUUAGACAAGUAUCAGAUUAAAGAAACCAAUAUAGAACCUUAUUAAAUAGGGACUUAGCUGGAAGGUGAGAAAGAAAUUACAAUUGCUAUUGGUGCAACAAUACAAAAUUUAGCUUAGCUAUCUAUCAGAUUUCUUGACUCAAAUUCCAGCUAGCAAAGACGAAGAUUGAAUCCCCAAAAAUCCAUGCUAAACCAAAUAUAGACUUGUUGAUUUACCUCAAUUGAAUUAUUUAUAAAACAUUAUACAUGAACUUGUUUUAAAUACAUGACAAAAUCUAGCUGAGCUAAACCUUCCUGGAAUCUUAUGUGGAUUUUUAGAGUUUAGACCAAGGAGAAAUGGGGAAAUAAUUCGGGACAGAGGGUAGUGCACACGGGAGCCUCAGAAUAGCGGGUAGCCUAGCGAUGUUUAUAGGAAAAAGGUGGCUUUUGUCUCAUCAGUGAGUUUGUUGCCCAAUGCCCGUGCUACUGAUAUAAUGUCGUUCAUGACAUACCUCGCCCAGUUCAAAUUCGGGAUGUCAUCCAAAUUUUAUGAGAGCCACAAAAUAUGUUGGAAGAAUAACUACGGAUCAAAUGGACCUCGAACUUUAUCUCACCGUGAACACCACAUCAAUCACAUUCUAACAGGAGGCCUCAGCCAUCGCCAAGGCAUCUCAUGGAACAUGGGGGAAACUCCAAAUCGAACAGAGCAACACAAAAAUAGGAAUCAGGCAUGAGGAAAGGGGAAUAAGCUAACCUGGGUAAUGGGAUCAGCAGGCCCAGGAGGGUGCCACCAUGCCAGUGGCCUCCACAAGAAUAAUCUUGCACACGAUGUCGCCUCAAGCAAUGGAUCGCCAACACCAGAACCGAAGCACUUGUUGUUCAUGGUUUCAGUUAUGAGAUAUCCCGUGAACUGAGGUACAAAUCACAAAUAGGUCAGCUCAUGAGCUAAAGAAUAUAAUCUUAUCCAAGAAAAGAUAAAAUAGUUCGCAGCAACAAAGCUUUAUUAAGUUCUUUACUAAGAAAGCUAACUUAGAAAUUACAGCCCAAACAGAGAAUAAAUGGUUUAGAACAGGCAUAAAUCUGAUCCAUCUUCCAUCAUCAAUAAUAAAAACAGGAAAUCUUGAAAUCCUUGAUCCAAACAUCAUAAGUCACAAAAGUCGAAGCAAACAGUGAACUGAAAAUUACUCUGAAAAAAACUUUUCUUUUGUUGACUCUAAACGAAGCCCAUGCCCUGUUACUCCAUUCUUUUGUUGACUCUAAAUGAAGCGUGAUUUAUAUGUUCGAUUACAGCCAUGACUUGGCGAUAUUCUAAAGAAUAUAACUAUAAGACCAGAGAUAGAAAACUAACAGAGAAUGCUGAGAAUAGAGAACACCUGUAAUAUAGUAAUGGUACAAAAAUUUGGUCGUAAGGUUGUGUGUGGCCGACAAGGGUGGCUCAGGGAGCGCACCAUGCAGCAGCGUGCGAGCGCUGCGGAAGAUGGGGAUGGGAGGGAGGCGUUUGCGUGCGCAUUUGGUGAUCAAAUGGCUCAGGAGGGGACCGAUCUUGGGAUAGGAUCAGUCAACCAACAUGUAGUAGUGACCUGACCGGAAAGGUAGGAUUUGCAUGAGCAGGUCAACAGAGAAUUAUAAUGUCAGCAUAUAGCAAUAAAACCAAUGAGCACUAUCAAGUUACCAAAAAGAGGGCGUUUACCGACAGCUUACCGUUAAUUUGCAGUCGUACCACUCAGUUAAAAUUAAGAAUAACCACACCUCAUUCAAUUAUGAUUCAAACAACAUGAACAAUUAUCCGUGAAGUUCAUUUCUAAACUACGCGCUUAUUAAGAUAGGUGUUUACCGGUAAUAGGGUAAAAUGAUACAUAAGUUUUAACUUCAGGAUAGGUAUUUACUGUAUUUUUCAGAGAUGGACAUGCGGGUCACCCCAUUAACUCAACAAGUAGAUAUAUUAGCUAGCUAUUGGUGUUCUCAGAAACCAUAAAUAGUUUAAACCGAAUUAUGUGUGCUUGUGCAGAUAGUAUAGAUGUAUGAUGGAUUCCUAGUUGCCGUGAUCAAUGAUCAAGGAGAUGCUUCUACAUGCAUACGCAUAGAACUAAGCAUUCAUUCUUCUCCUUGAUUCUAUUCUCCUGUUAAGCUCUCAAAUUUCUACACAUUUAUGAUAGAAAAAUGUGAUACUACAACUGCAGUUUAUAUUGCUGUAUUUAUAUGCUUCCAUACACAUGCUAUGAAGCACGAAACAUGACAAGGAAAAUACAAAGGAUAGCCUAAAGCAAAACAAUGGGGUUAACUAAAAUUUACCUAUUCUAAACUUGUUUCUUUCUGAACAGAGCAUCAACUCAAACCACAUAUAGCAGUGAAGCAACAAUGAUAUUUUCUCUAAAAAUCCAACACAGUGCCACAGACAGCACACAACACACUUAAGUACAAAAAAUCAUCAUUUUCCUUUGAAAGGGAGGGCGUUGGUUGGGUAAUGUGUACCAAAAAAUCAUGCCAAAUUUGAACGAAAGCCUGGGCAACCACUGAGACAUAAAGGAGUCAGAGGGGAGGUAAGGAGGAUUGGGAGUAGGUCAUCUAUGCAAGGAAGAUCACGGGGACCAAAAUCCUACAUGAGACUGAAAUGGAAAGGUUGCCCAAGGCAGACAAGAAUCAUCGGAAUCAUUUUCGAAUCUAAAAAUGGAAUAUAGACAGCAGUGACGAUAGUAGUAGAUGCAGAAUUAUGCUUAAGAGCACAACUGAAAUCUAUAUAACCGUCGUAUUCAUGUGCAGACAUAUCUUCAUCACAUCAUCGUUUUCCAAGUAUAGUUAAUAAGAAAUCCGAUUCACAUAUGUCCUGGUCAUCCCAUUUAUGCUGAAUAUAUUCAAGGCACUUCUGUAACAAUUUUUUUUAAAUACCCACUGUUAUCUAAUAUCUAGUAAACUGGGUACAAAAGACGGAGGCAAGAAGCCCAUGUUCUCUCAGAUCGAGUAUAUCCCUGUCCUGAAUGGUGUAUCCAAGGUUCCCCAUGUCAUGUUUAAGUACGAAUCACUUGUUUAUUGUGACAUGGACCACUGAUAUCUGAAAUAUAUGAAAAGACCCAUCAGGGCCCAGGAAAAAUAUGCCCUCCUAAAAGUAAAAGAAUGUCCCUGCUAUUUAAAAGAAGAUUGGCACUAAUAAGAGGCUAAGGAGAAGCAAAAUAAGCAAAGUAAAUGUCUGAAAAAUAAGAGGAGAGCAUCUUCGACAUUACCUAGAUACAUUCAGAAAAUCAAAAGCACCUGAACUAACAACUAAAACAGUGCCCUGAAAUAGAAUCCCAGACAUGAAGCUAUAAGCAUAAAUAACAACCAACGCAAAAUCAAAAGAAAUAAAAAUAUGUGCAUCACAAAAUACUAUUAGGAGAUCAGGUCUACUGUACAAAUAUGAGGCAGCUGCCAUACAAUCUCUAGAUGCGAAACAGCUGCAUUCAUAACUAUAUAUGCAUUAGCAAGAUAAAUCACUCUACCGAUUUGUAAGCAGCAAACCAGCUCAAAUGUAGUCAUCAUCAGUAACUCUUGCUUCGAUAAUAACAGCCAACCACCAUGUAUAUCCAUCCAUGAUACAUAAAGGGGGAGAAGUAAAUUACGUUGAAUGAGAAUUAAUUAAUUGCCACGCGGCUGCAGCUGCCAAACAUGCCACGGUUAAAUACAUGGAUUUUGUCAGGGAUCUGGGUACAUGAAAAUAGACAAAGUAACAAAUCAAUUAGAAGGAGCCAAAACAAGCAGAGGUGGUCAGUGAGAAUACCCGCAGGCGCCCCAACAGGCUAUAGACACCAUGUCACCGUGACAUGAGCCGAGACAUGGUGCCUAACAUGAGCCGAGACAGGCCGGCGAAACUGUAACAUGACGUGCAACAUGUAAGAAAGUAAGCAUCCAGGGAAGAUAGGCUGGCAGGCCAAGCAACUAAAUUAGAACACAUACACCCAUUUCUUGCACAGAGCAGUGCUUGUAAUCCCUUUAUUUAUUUUCAUUAACAAAGUGAGAAUGCAGGGUUAUUUUUUCAUUAAAAAAUGUGAGAAUGCAGGGCGGAGAAGGAUGAGGAAGCAACGAUAGAAAGCUCUAUUACCUCACACGGCCAUUCGAACUAAUCACCAGGAGACAAAAGAACAUAUUAGGCUCUAGGAAUUAACACAACCUCUAUUGCUUUGUUCAUACACACUCAAUUCUGAAAAAGGAAAACAUAAGCUUCAGGAGCAAACAAAUAGAAUAUGAAAACUGUAUAUAUAUACAGAGAAAACAAAAAUAGGAACGCAAACUGUCAUAUUACUCCCAGGUGUGAAGAGCCAAAGCUAUUUUCAAGCAGUAUUAUAAGCUAGCUCUAGAUUUUACUCCAUAGUAAACAGAAUAGUUUUGUAAGGUAGCUCUAGAUUUUAUACGAUUCAAAAAAGCAGCAGAUGGACACAUGAUUGUACAACUGAUGCAUAGUCACCCUCUUCUUGGAAUAGCCCACGGCUUAUACAUAUAGAUGAAAAUUUCAUCCAAACAUGCCAGUGUUUUUAGGCCAUUAAAUGGAAAGUGAUGCAUUUUUUGUUUGUCAAGUCCCUAUUGACCCACAGGGCAAACAGUGGUGUUUUACCAGGCCAACUAUUUUCAAAAUUUCACUAAACAGAACCCAACACCCAAAAGUAAUAGAGGGACGUUCUCCUCAUUAGCAUACAGACUGCACAGAGGUGAGCUAUAUGGACUCUACAACCAGCAGCAAGUGCAAGAUGUGUAGUGUGUAUGCCUAGUUGCCUACCAAGUUCUACUUCAUUCUACUGGUCAGAACUCUCUAAGGCGUCCGCCUUGCCUUAUGCCUUAC